rnacentral:lncRNA from 1 species
AAAAACAAGAAUAAAAGCAAUCUUUUCAUCUGCAUAACGAUUGUCUUGUUUGAUUUUCAAAAGCUUUUCAUAUCAAAAUCAUUAUGCAGGUUGUUUCUCAAACCCAUUGAACAUAGUGAUCGGACGUCAUCUCCCAAUUUUGAAUUCCCUGUAUUCGAAGCAGACGAAGAUGAUGUUGAAGGGAUUCCUGACGAGAUUUCCCGACUUCUUGCGCAAGAAAAGAAGAUCACUCAGCUGCAUCUCGAGAAUCAGCAGAACAGCCAACUGGGGCAUCAAAAAAAAUAUAAAUGAAAAAAAGUAAAAAAGAAAAAGAAGGAGGAGGGUGCAAAACCAAAU